AAACCAUGUAUCGGGUAUUUGAAUAGUAAUUUUUUAAAUCGCUCUCAUGCUUCAUACAAGAUUUAAUCCUCUAAUUUCUUGAAAGAUGUGAUUCCAUUUCUUAGUUU